rnacentral:rRNA from 1 species
GAUCAUGGCUCAGGAUGAACGCUAGCGACAGGCUUAACACAUGCAAGUCGAGGGGCAGCACGGUGUAGCAAUACACUGGUGGCGACCGGCGCACGGGUGAGUAACACGUGUGCAACCAACCCCGUACCGGGAGAUAAACCCGCGGAAACGUGGACUAACAUCCCACAACACUCUAGAGCCGCAUGGUUCUGGAUUUAAAAUUCCGGUGGUACGGGACGGGCACGCGCGACAUUAGGUAGUUGGCGGGGUAACGGCCC